CUAAUAGGCCUAAGGAAAUAAUGUAAUAUUCUGCACUCCUUGGCCUUUGUGUGAGGUAUGUAAUCCUGACUUUCUGGCAAGAAGAAUUCCAGAAUAUGUGCACCUUGUUCCUCAUUCCUUGACUUUUCAAUUGGUUCAGAUGACUCUAUUUCUAUCUCAUCUUCCAAACACAAUGUGGAAAAAUGUUUGGAGCAUGGACCAAUGCACUCAAACACAUGAGCUUCAGAACUUUCAACAUCCUCAACAUCAAUAAUACUAGAGUCAACAAAAUUUAUAUCCUCAAAGUCCUUGGUUGGCUCUAGUCUCACUUCUUCA
rnacentral:lncRNA from 1 species